rnacentral:rRNA from 1 species
AAACCAACAGGGAUUGCCCCAGUAACGGCGAGUGAAGCGGCAAGAGCUCAAAUUUGAAAUCUGGCCUCCCCCGGGGGUCCGAGUUGUAAUUUGCAGAGGAUGCUUCGGGCGCGGCCCCCGUCUAAGUUCCUUGGAACAGGACGUCAGAGAGGGUGAGAAUCCCGUCUUGGGCGGGCGGCCCGCGCCCGUGUGAAGCUCCUUCGACGAGUCGAGUUGUUUGGGAAUGCAGCUCUAAGCGGGUGGUAAAUUUCAUCUAAAGCUAAAUACCGGCCGGAGACCGAUAGCGCACAAGUAGAGUGAUCGAAAGGUUAAAAGCACCUUGAAAAGGGAGUUAAACAGCACGUGAAAUUGUUGAAAGGGAAGCGCUUGCGGCCAGACUCGGGGGGCGGGGUUCAGCGGGCGUUCGUCGCCCGUGCACUGCCCGCUCCCCGGGCCAGCAUCAGCUUCGACGGCCGGUCAAAGGCCCCCGGAAUGUGUCGUCUCUAGGGACGUCUUAUAGCCGGGGGUGCAAUGCGGCCCGUCGAGACUGAGGAACGCGCUCCGGCUCGGAUGCUGGCGUAAUGGCCGUAAGCGGC